CCAGGCUAACUUUGGUUGGUCGCCGGCUUCUUAGAGAGACUAUCAACUCAAGUUGAUGGAAGUUUGAGGCAAUAACAGGUCUGUGAUGCCCUUAGAUGUUCUGGGCCGCACGCGCGCUACACUGACAGAGCCAACGAGUUCUUCACCUUGUUCGAAAGAAUUGGGUAAUCUUGUUAAACUCUGUCGUGCUGGGGAUAAAGCAUUGCAAUUAUUGCUUUUCAACGAGGAAUGCCUAGUAAGCGCGUGUCAUCAGCAUGCGUUGAUUACGUCCCUGACCUUUGUACACACCGCCCGUCGCUACUACCGAUUGAAUGGCUC
rnacentral:rRNA from 1 species